CCCGUCACAUCAUGAAAGCCGGUUGUACCCGAAGUCGUCGUGCCAACUGCAAAGAGGCAGAUGCCGAAGGUAUGGCUGGUGAUUGGGAUG
rnacentral:rRNA from 1 species